rnacentral:rRNA from 1 species
GAGCAGCUUGCUGCUUUGAGACCGGCGCACGGGUGCGUAACGCGUAUGCAAUCUACCUUGUACAGGGGGAUAGCCCAGAGAAAUUUGGAUUAAUACCCCAUGGUGUUUAAGAGUGGCAUCACUUUUUUACUAAAGUUCCAACGGUACAAGAUGAGCAUGCGUCCCAUUAGCUAGUUGGUAUGGUAACGGCAUACCAAGGCUAUGAUGGGUAGGGGUCCUGAGAGGGAGAUCCCCCACACUGGUACUGAGACACGGACCAGACUCCUACGGGAGGCAGCAGUGAGGAAUAUUGGUCAAUGGUCGCGAGACUGAACCAGCCAUGCCGCGUGCAGGAAGACGGUCCUAUGGAUUGUAAACUGCUUUUAUACAGGAAGAAACCCUCUCACGUGUGGGAGCUUGACGGUACUGUAUGAAUAAGCAUCGGCUAACUCCGUGCCAGCAGCCGCGGUAAUACGGAGGAUGCGAGCGUUAUCCGGAAUCAUUGGGUUUAAAGGGUCCGUAGGCGGUUUAAUAAGUCAGUGGUGAAAUCUGGUCGCUCAACGAUCAAACUGCCAUUGAUACUGUUAGACUUGAAUAAUUGUGAAGUAACUAGAAUAUGUAGUGUAGCGGUGAAAUGCUUAGAUAUUACAUGGAAUACCAAUUGCGAAGGCAGGUUACUAACAAUUUAUUGACGCUGAUGGACGAAAGCGUGGGGAGCGAACAGGAUUAGAUACCCUGGUAGUCCACGCCGUAAACGAUGGAUACUAGCUGUUCGGCGCAAG